GAUGAACGCUGGCGGCGUGCCUAAUACAUGCAAGUCGAGCGGACCAAAGAGAGCUUGCUCUCUGAGGUUAGCGGCGGACGGGUGAGUAACACGUGGGUAACCUGCCUGUAAGACGGGGAUAACUUCGGGAAACCGAAGCUAAUACCGGAUGAUAAAGAGAAACGCCUGUUUCUUUUUUGAAAGUCGGCCUUGUGCUGACGCUUACAGAUGGGCCCGCGGCGCAUUAGCUAGUUGGUGAGGUAACGGCUCACCAAGGCGACGAUGCGUAGCCGACCUGAGAGGGUGAUCGGCCACACUGGGCCUGAGACACGGCCCAGACUCCUACGGGAGGCAGCAGUAGGGAAUCUUCGGCAAUGGACGAAAGUCUGACCGAGCAACGCCGCGUGAGCGAUGAAGGCCUUCGGGUCGUAAAGCUCUGUUGUCAGAGAAGAACAAGUACCGGAGUAACUGCCGGUACCUUGACGGUACCUGACCAGAAAGCCACGGCUAACUACGUGCCAGCCGCCGCGGUAA
rnacentral:rRNA from 1 species